rnacentral:rRNA from 1 species
GAUGCACGCUGGCGGCGUGCCUAAUACAUGCAAGUCGAACGAAACUUCUUUAUCACCGAGUGCUUGCACUCACCGAUAAAGAGUUGAGUGGCGAACGGGUGAGUAACACGUGGGCAACCUGCCCAAAAGAGGGGGAUAACACUUGGAAACAGGUGCUAAUACCGCAUAACCAUAGUUACCGCAUGGUAACUAUGUAAAAGGUGGCUAUACUACCGCUUUUGGAUGGGCCCGCGGCGCAUUAGCUAGUUGGUAGGGUAAAGGCUUACCAAGGCAAUGAUGCGUAGCCGAAUUGAGAGGUUGAUCGGCCACAUUGGGACUGAGACACGGCCCAAACUCCUACGGGAGGCAGCAGUAGGGAAUCUUCCACAAUGGGCGAAAGCCUGAUGGAGCAACGCCGCGUGGGUGAAGAAGGUCUUCGGAUCGUAAAACCCUGUUGUUAGAGAAGAAAGUGCGUGAGAGUAACUGUUCACGUUUCGACGGUAUCUAACCAGAAAGCCACGGCUAACUACGUG